CAGUAGCCGCGGUAAUACGUAGGUGGCAAGCGUUGUCCGGAAUUAUUGGGCGUAAAGCGCGCGCAGGCGGAUAGGUCAGUCUGUCUUAAAAGUUCGGGGCUUAACCCCGUGAUGGGAUGGAAACUGCCAAUCUAGAGUAUCGGAGAGGAAAGUGGAAUUCCUAAUGUAGCGGUGAAAUGCGUAGAUAUUAGGAAGAACACCAGUGGCAAAGGCGACUUUCUGGACGAAAACUGACGCUGAGGCGCGAAAGCCAGGGGAGCGAACGGGAUUAGAUACCCGCGUAGUCCCUGUCUCUUAUACA
rnacentral:rRNA from 1 species